rnacentral:misc_RNA from 1 species
GAAAUGCGAUAAGUAAUGUGAAUUGCAGAAUUCAGUGAAUCAUCGAAUCUUUGAACGCACCUUGCGCUCCUUGGUAUUCCGAGGAGCAUGCCUGUUUGAGUGUCAUGGAAUUCUCAACUCUAUUUGCUUUUGUGAAUAGAGCUUGGAUUUGGAGGUUUAUUGCUGGUACUUGUGAUCGGCUCCUCUUGAAUGCAUUAGCUCGAACCUUUGCGGAUCAGCUAUCGGUGUGAUAAUUGUCUACGCCGUUGCAGUGAAGCAUAUCAAUGGGCUCGGCUUCCAAUCGUCCUUUACUGGACAAUGACUUUGACCUUUGACCUCAAAUCAGGUAGGAUUACCCGCUGAACUUAAGCA